CCAAUUACUUCCAAUUCCCUGACACUCACACAACAAAAUAUAAUGGAAAAUUGUUUGUAUCUUUGUCUUUUUUUCUCUCUUUCACAUGAUGUGUGAUACUGAUAACUGAUAACUUGUAAGCCGUUCACCGUUCAUUUUUGCUUCAUCAGUAUUAGGAUUUAGAUAUGCGUCUCUAAUAUUGGAUUGAGUUUUUAUUUUUAUUUUUUUGUAAUAAUAAAAAACAUAAACUUCUGUCAAAUCUAGUUCGAUCAUUAUAUUCUUUUAUUACAUUGUAAGAUGUUUUUUCUUCCCAUCCUUCUGCUAUACUUCUUGGAGAUAAUUGCCUACUGUACACGUUGGAGAUAAUUGCAUGGUUGACUCAAAAUUGGAGACUAAUAUGGAACUUGUUCCACUUUUUAAAACUCAAAAUUGUUCCUCCUAUUUUGGAAGGAUAAGUGGGUGGGGUAUAGACCCCUCUGCUAUGUGUUUCCUUCAUCUUUAUUAUUGAAACCGAUAAACCAACCAACAAAAAUAUCAAGUUACGUGGAAACCCGAGUACGGGAGAAAAACCAUGACUUUACUUUUCUUAUUAUUUUUUAUAAUUACAAAAUGUACAAGAGGGGGAAUAGAUAGAAUGAUAUAGUGAGAUAAAUGGACCAAGCUCACUAACUCUAACACUCUCCCUCAAGUUGGGACACAAAUAUCGAUGAGGCCUAACUUGCUAAAACAAAAGUCAAAGUUUGGUAUGAGUAGCCUCUUGGUGAGAAUAUCAUCAACCUGUUCGCUCGAAGGAAUGUAUGAAAUGCAUACUCCCACGAUCAAGUAUUUCUUUGAUGAAGUGUUGAUCAAUCUCAACAUGUUUGGUUCUAUCAUGUUGAACUGAAUUGUUAGCGAUGCUAUUGGCUGCUUUGUUAUCACAUAAUAACUUCAUUGGUGUUUCACACUCUUGAUGAAGAUCAUACAAGACUUUUUGGAGCCAAAUUUCCUUAUAUAUACCCAAACUCAUAGCCUGUAUUCGGCCUCAACAUUGCUACUGCCCACGUCACUUUGCUUCUUACGUCUCCAAGUUACUAGAUUGCCCCAUACAAAGGUAUAGUGACCGAAGGGAGUUUGCAUAAACUGGUUGGCAACAUUCACAACAAAGGAAAUAUUCGAACAAGUAUGAGACAAGUAAAUCAAUUUACCCGCAAGGCGCCGAUAUCGUUCUUUAUCAACUGGAACUUGAUCACCUGAAUUUCCUAGUUUACAGUUGAAUUCAACUGGGGUGCUAGCAAGGUGACAUCCCAACAUAUCUGUUUCGGCCAGCAAAUCAAUGACGUAUUUUCUCUGAGAUGCAGAGAUGCCUUCUUUAGAUCUGGACACCUCUAUUCCAAGGAAAUAUUUCAUAUUUCCUAAAUUAUUGAUUUCAAAUUCAUAACCCAUUCUCUGUUUCAAUUGACUAAUUUAUGCCUGAUCAUCUAUACAUAAAACGAUGUCAUCAACAUAUACAACAAGAACCGCAAUCUUUCCAUAACUGUUUUAGACCAUAUAAAGAUUUCUGAAGUUUACAUACCUGAUGACCAAACUGAGCUUCAAAUCUAGGCGAGGGGCUCAUGUAGACUUCCUCCACUAGGUCUGCACUCAGAAAAACGUUCUUAAAAUCCAGCUGAUAUAGAGUCCAAUCUUUGUUUACAACAACAAAUAGCAAGACUUUAACAGUGCUCAAUUUAGCACUGAAGAAAAAGUAUCUAAAUAGUCAACACCAUAGAUUUGAGUAAACCCCUUUGCAACUAAACUGACCUUGCUUUGUGUCUGCCAAAUGUUCCAUCUGCUUUGUAUUUGAGAGUGAACACCUAUUUACAUCUCACAAAUUUAUGUGGGUAGAGCACAAAUCUCCUAAGUUUUAUUCUCUUCAAGAGCCUUCAUUGAUUCCAUGACAACAUUCUUCCAUUCAGGAUACUCUAAAGAAGUGUGGACAUUUUUCAGUAUUAUGGUAGAAUCAAGGCUUGCUGUGAAAGCUCUGAACUGUAGAGAGAAAUUAUCAUAGGAAACAUAAUUACAAAUGCGAUAUUUUGUACAAGACCUGGUAUCUUUUCUUAGUGUAAUGAGAAUGUCCAGGGAGGGUUUUGUGGUA